UAAAAACCCCGACUUCGGAAGGGGUGUAUUUAUUAGAUACAAAACCAAUGCCCUUCGGGGCUCUUUGGUGAUUCAUGAUAACUAUACGAAUCGCACGGCCUUGCGCCGGCGAUGGUUCAUUCAAAUUUCUUCCCUAUCAACUUUCGAUGUUUGGGUAUUGGCCAAACAUGGUUGCAACGGGCAACGGAGGGUUAGGGCUCGACCCCGGAGAAGGAGCCUGAGAAACGGCUACUACAUCCAAGGAGGGCAGCAGGCGCGCAAAUUACCCAAUCCCGACUCGGGGAGGUAGUGACAAUAAAUACUGAUACAGGGCCCUUUCGGGCCUUGUAAUUGGAAUGAGUACAAUUUAAAUCCCUUAACGAGGAACAAUUGGAGGGCAAGUCUGGUGCCAGCAGCCGCGGUAAUUCCAGCUCCAAUAGCGUAUAUUAAAGUUGUUGUGGUUAAAAAGCUCGUAGUUGAACCUUGGGCCUGGCUGGCCGGUCCGCCUCACCGCGUGCACUGGUCCGGCCGGGCCUUUCCCUCUGUGGAACCCCAUACCCCUUUCACUGGGCGUGGCGGGGAAACAGGGACAUUUUA
rnacentral:rRNA from 1 species